rnacentral:rRNA from 1 species
ACGGAGGAUCCAAGCGUUAUCCGGAUUUAUUGGGUUUAAAGGGAGCGUAGGCGGUUUGGAAAGUUAGAGGUGAAAUCCCGUGGCUCAACCACGGAACUGCCUCUGAUACUGCCAGGCUAGAGAAUGGUUGCUGUGGGCGGAAUGUGUGGUGUAGCGGUGAAAUGCUUAGAGAUCACACAGAACACCGAUUGCGAAGGCAGCUCACAAAUCCAUAUCUGACGCUGAGGAAAGAAAGCGUGGGGAGCAAACAG